CCUACGGGAGGCAGCAGUGGGGAAUAUUGGGCAAUGGGCGCAAGCCUGACCCAGCAACGCCGCGUGAAGGAAGAAGGCUUUCGGGUUGUAAACUUCUUUUCUGAGGGACGAUGAAAGUGACGGUUACUCAGGAAUAAGCCACGGACACCUUCGUGCCAGCAGCCGCGGUAAUACGUAGGUGGCAAGCGUUAUCCGGAUUUAUUGGGUGUAAAGGGCGUGUAGGCGGGAAAGCAAGUCAGAUGUGAAAUCUCAGGGCUCAACCCUAAGCCUGCAUUUGAAACUGUUAUUCUUGAGUGCUGGAGAGGCAAGCGGAAUUCCGGGUGUAGCGGUGAAAUGCGUAGAUAUACGGAGGAACACCAGUGGCGAAGGCGGAUUGCUGGACAGUAACUGACGCUGAGGCGCGAAAGCGUGGGGAGCAAACAGGAUUAGAUACCCCAGUAGUC
rnacentral:rRNA from 1 species